rnacentral:misc_RNA from 1 species
GUGAAUCAUCGAAUUUUUGAACGCAAAUUGCACUCCCUGGUAUUCCGGGGAGUAUGCCUGUUUGAGGGUCGUUAGAAUAAAAAAUCGAGGCGUCGCGCUUUUUUUUAGGGGUGAGCGCGUCGGAAUUGAGCCGGCUUUCAAAUGUUAAUUCAUGUCAAAGUGGGUUAAAAUUCAUCCAUCCGGUACGAUUAAAGCGUAUUUAAGAUAAACUUUGAUUAAGAACGGGCGAUGAAGUACCAUAUGAAGUAGUACGUUUGACCUGGGUCAU